rnacentral:miRNA from 1 species
UACAGGAAGAAAGUGGAUGCAU